rnacentral:rRNA from 1 species
CACGUAGGAUCCGAGCGUUAUCCGAAUUUACUGGGCGUAAAGGGCAGGCAGGCGGUUGGGUAAGUUGGACGUGAAAGCUCCUGGCUCAACUGGGAGAGGUCGUUCAAGACUGCCCGGCUAGAGGGCGGCAGAGGGAGGUGGAAUUCCCGGUGUAGUGGUGAAAUGCGUAGAGAUCGGGAGGAACACCAGAGGCGAAGGCGGCCUCCUGGGCCGCGCCUGACGCUGAGCUGCGAAAGCUAGGGGAGCGAACGGG